GCGGCCGUUAGCGGGGCGGGCGGCACGCUCCGCCCCCCGCCCCGGGCCGCGGCCGUGCCUCUCCCUCCCGCAGGGGGACUUUCGUGGUGGGCGUCACGUGGUCCGACACGUAGCCGUAAGGACUUGGUCACGGCGGGCUCCGACUGCUACUGUGUCGUUGGUGGGACCGCACGACGAUCUCUCCAGCCCUCGCUCCCCCAUCCUGCAUCCCUGCGGUUUCCUACGGUUCCUAGAGCCGCGCGGUGGGAAGGAGCCUUAGGAGUGGCGGGUCCCGCGUGGGCGCGCCUUGUCUCUCCGACGGCAUCGCCGCUGUCGGUGCAGUGGCCUCUCCCGCGGCCGGCGCGCCACUAGGGACAGGGCGUGCUUUGUUGCCACAUCCCGUUAGUCCGAGAUCCAUCCACGGUCCGGAGCAGGCAGCGCGGUGCACGAGAUUCUGAGUCUGUGAAUGGCGUUCGCAGUGUUUUGUUUCGUGAUGGCAGCGGCAUCCAGAAAUAAGAUAGCAUCGGCAUCCAGAAAUAAGAUACGGCCGCAGUAAAGAAAUAACGAGCAUGUGCCCAGUUGAAAAGCGAAAGUCAACAUUUCUGUUUGCAAAUUGCAGAAAUAACUAUACAGUGGACUAGAGGGUUUGCCAAGCAGUAUGAUGGAUUUCAGAUAUUUAGGUUAAUCUGGGAAAGAAUUUUCUGAGCUGAAGCAGUUUAGUUGUCUUUGGAAUGUUACCAAUCACUAAAUCUGCAUUUUAUUGCAAGCCCUUUAUGACGUGUACAAUUAAUGAGAUAAAAUUAUUUACUAUCACUGACCAUUGUGAGAGUUACUCGUGCCUGAGAUUUUUCUUAAUCUUGUCGACUGUUAACUGAAUUUGCUCCAACAAAUUCCUAGCAACACUUUUUAAGACUGAAUCGCAUUGAAGAUACUAAGUUUCAAACAAAUACUCUUUGAGAGUAGCAAGUAAUUUCUAGCCUGUUCAUUUGAAGAACGCAGAGUGAGUUCGUUUUCAAAAUUAAGCUACUUUGAUAGAGGAAAUGGAAUUGCCUUGGCAGGCAAAGUUAAAAACAUUUAACCCCCAAAUUUUAAGUUAUCCAAUAUUCAUCACUGUUAAGAGCCAUAAAAUAUUCGUGUACUGAUUACCUAUUUAAAGGAUGAAUUGUAUAAAUAUAAGGAAUAAUUAUUUCACAAAAAAAUCUGUCUAAACACUAAAAGUAAGGUAUGCUUUUUCAGUAUUUAGCAAAAUGGUUAGUUUCAAAGGGUUUAGGUAGUAAAUUACUUAUUUGAUAUGCGAGUGUAAAAGAUUCAAUCCCCCUUUUUAAUUGGUUCACUUCUGUAUUAAUCCUCCAAGUGCUGUUUUUAAAGGAGUUACAUAUAUAAAUGCUUUACAUAUAUCUCAUUUAAUCUUCAGCUUUCUGGCUUAGGUUGUGCUGUAUCCCCAUUUUAUACCACAGGAAACCCAAGGAAAAGAAGGUUGAGUUACUGGCCCAAAACUACAGCUCAUGAGCACUGGAUCUGGGAUUCAAAUCCACUUACACUUUAUGCAAAGCCCUUGUUCUUUACCCAUCUACCAGCCCUAGCCAGUAAGUCACAUCAAACCUUUUGACUGUUUGACCAUUUUUUGACCCAUGGGAACUGGAACAUCAUAGCUCACCCAGCUAAGCCAACCAGGUCAGAUUUAAAGAACCAUGUGAGGCAGUAAUCAUUUCCGUUGUAUUAAAUCCCUUAUGGUUGCAGCAUUUGCUAAGAGUUACUAUGCAUUACCUUUUCAAAUACACACUUAGCACAUCACCUCUGCUCACAGUUCUUUUGUUACCCGUUUUCAAUUUAAAAAAACAAAACAAAACCAGAAGGCCUUACCAAGGCCUGUAGCCCCACAUGCUCUGACCCCUGCUGCCUUGCUGACCUCCUGUCCACCUCUCUUCCCCUUUCACAGUGGUCUGUAGGCCCUGGAAUCCCCUCCCCCAUCCUUAAACAGGCCAAGCAGUGGGACAUGGGGUGUCUAGUACAGAUGCUUGGAGGCUUCCUGGCUAAUGUGGGCUGACUGUGUUUAAGGGGAGUAUGCCCCAAGCUUCCCUUCCUCAAGCAGGUCUUUCUACUAAAAAUCUCUAAGGAUAAGGGGGAGCACAAAACCCCUGGUUGGUUGGGCUUUGCACUUGGAGUUUCCUCUCUCUGCAGCGCUUGCCCUGCACACCCUCCAGCCUGCCUCCAGGGGUUCUGCCACCAGAGCUGAAGCAGUGUAGAAAUGUACAGGGGCACCCUUGUUAUUGUCUGCUGGCCCUCCUUUUAACUCUUCCCACAGCAUUUACUUCCUCCUGACACGGGAUCUAUGCAUGAGUUUGUCACAUCCCCCUCCCCGUAAGCCCCAUGAGAGUGAGGACUUUUAUUUUGUUCUGUUUGAAAUUCCCAGCUCCUAGAACAGCACGUGGUGUGUGUGGGUGCUCAUUAAAAAUACGUUCAAAAAGGGCAGUAAGCACUUGUUAUGCACUAGGAACUGUACAAAAUCCUUACCUACAUGACUUCAUUUAAUUUGCACAGUAGACAUUCCAGGUGGGCAUGAGUGCACCACCUGCGAUUCCCUGCCUUUUCUCUGCCACACUGCACCUGGGGCAUUGCAGGCCCACAGUACACCGCUCACCACCCUGCCUGUAAGUGCAGCGAGAAUGCAGAAGUUCCUGGGGUACAUCUCUUGUCUUCGAGAAGCUUAAAAAUUAAUGUGGGAAGACAAAUGACAUUAGUCCAAAUAUGACACAUGACCUUGGCAGGUUGCCGUGUGCACACAGUAUGUGUGGGUGAGCUUCCCAUUGAAGAUCCAUGUAACUUUUCCCAUGAAAAUGUUCUAAUGUGCUGACCCUAAAAAUGGUUCCAUAGCUAAUAUCAGUAAUUAACCACAAAUUGUCUUAAAUUUGAUUUUAUUUGAUUAUUGCUAUUCUCUACAUUUAAAAUUUUAAAGUUGUGGUAUUCCAAGCAUUCUUUCACAUCACCAUGAAGUUCUUGCAAGAACAAAAAUGUGCCUUGGACUUAAGAAUCAAUGUUUGAUAGCUUUUUGUUCCAACUGUUCUUUCUAAAAAUCUUAAUCCUUGAAUAUUUCUAAAAGGGAAUAGUCAUUCCCAAUUUCUUUGUAAACUAAAUCUUGGUUUAUUGUGUUAAUAGAUUUGUCAAGACUUCUUUUAAAUUGUGGGGUGGCUGAUCGAGUCUGUUUAAAAGGUUGAAAUGAUACAUUUUAAGUGUGAACAUCUUCAUUGACAAAUACAGUCCCUGUCAUUAACCCUGAGACACUCUGGGGCUAAGCCAGGUGUCAAUGUGGCACACACAUGGAGAGUUAACCAGUGACAGUGAAUGCCAAAGACAAAACGCUGUCUGCGUGGAAAGGAGCACUGCCUUCCAGGCCAGAGCCACGCAGGCUGCUUGGGGCCCUGGGCCUGGAAGAAGUAGCUUGAG